UACGGAGAGUGCAAGCGUUACUCGGAAUCACUGGGCUUAAAGAGCACGUAGGCGGACUCAUCAGUCGGUUGUGAAAGCCCCCGGCUCAACCGGGGAACUGCAGCCGAAACUGUGAGUCUUGAGGACAAGAGGGGAGAGCGGAACUUCUGGUGGAGCGGUGAAAUGCGUAGAUAUCAGAAGGAACAUCGGUGGCGAAAGCGGCUCUCUGGCUUGUCUCUGACGCUGAGGUGCGAAAGCGUGGGUAGCGAACAGG
rnacentral:rRNA from 1 species